CGAAUUCGCCCUUCCUACGGGAGGCAGCAGUGGGGAAUAUUGGACAAUGGGGGAAACCCUGAUCCAGCGACGCCGCGUGUGUGAAGAAGGCCUGCGGGUUGUAAAGCACUUUUAGUGGGGAUGAAAAGCUCAGGGCUAAUACCCCUGGGUCUUGACCUAACCCACAGAAAAAGCACCGGCUAACUCUGUGCCAGCAGCCGCGGUAAUACAGAGGGUGCAAGCGUUAAUCGGAAUUACUGGGCGUAAAGCGUGCGUAGACGGUCAUGUAAGUCGGGUGUGAAAGCCCCGGGCUCAACCUGGGAAUUGCAUUCGAGACUGCAUGGCUAGGGUGCGGAAGAGGGAAGCGGAAUUUCCGGUGUAGCGGUGAAAUGCGUAGAUAUCGGAAGGAACACCAGUGGCGAAAGCGGCUUCCUGGUCCAGCACCGACGUUCAGGCACGAAAGCGUGGGGAGCAAACAGGAUUAGAUACCCUGGUAGUCCACGCCAUAAACGAUGAGAACUAGACGUUGAAGGGGUAAGCCCUGCAGUGUCGUAGCUAACGCGCUAAGUUCUCCGCCUGGGGAGUACGGCCGCAAGGCUAAAACUCAAAGGAAUUGACGGAA
rnacentral:rRNA from 1 species